AUUUGUUUCGUCACUCAGUAUUGGCUAAGAACCAUAAGUGUUGAGACACUUAGCCAUCUUAUUUUCUGUGCCAAAUGGCAAAAUCCCCAGAGGCCCGGACAGAAGCUACAAGGGAUAGAAUUAACCCUUUUGGUCUCAGAUUAGGUACAUCUCUUGUGGGACUAUGGCUAACAAAAGCUGAUACUG
ensembl:lincRNA